rnacentral:lncRNA from 1 species
GCUUCUCACAAACGCGACCCUCUCCCUCAACACGGACAAAACCGAACCCUAAACGCCUCUCCGUCGCGAACUUCUCCCUCUUUGCAACAAAGCCCUAAACGCCUCUCCACGAAUCCCCUCUCUCCGAUGCCUCUCGGCGAACCUUCCUUCCUCUGCGACGAAAUCCUUUCUACUACCACCGGUGACUUUGUUCUUCCGCCUCGUUGUUCAGAGUUUUCAAGGUUAAAUCGGUUUUCCUUUCGAUUCUAGUCUUCUCAUUCUUCAAUAGAUUCUGAUUCUAAUUUUCCUUUUGUUUUGCUUCAUUUUGCUUUCAGAGUUUUCAAGGGUUUUUCAACAGUUCUCUUCGUUGUUUCCGCCAUCAUUACGUUCAAGUCUUAAUCAAUAUGUAUCCCUAUUUCUUCAGUAAGUAGAUCCGAACUAUGUUUAUCUCAAUCUUAAUUUUCUAUGAUGUGUGAUACUGUGGUUUCUAAGCUUCGAUUUGGAAUCUGGUAGUUCUGUCCCGAAUUUGCGAUUAGACAAUUUUUUCCCACGUUCUUAAUGCUUGUAGAUUUCUCCACACAUUUAGUUAUCAGUAACUUAUUUAACACCAGUGAUAAUUUAUUCUAGUUAAAUAUAUGAAAUAAGGUAUAAAGAGGUGCUUUUGGUAAAGGUACUUUAAUCUACUGUUCAAUAUCCGCUAAUUUUUGUCAAAUAGAGUCAUACUCUCGUGGAAAUUUGUCUUUGAAAUAACCGAAAUCCCUAAUUUUAUCUUUACCAUUCUGAUUGUAGGAAACUCUCCAGUGUAUGUACAUGUUUUGGAUAUAGAGAUUGGGAACAUGUAGGAAAGCAUUCUAAAUCUGAAUUACCACUUUUGAUGGUUAUGUAAGUUUAUAAUAUAUUUUUGUUGGAUUGCAUACUCUUUAUUUGAUAGNNNNNNNNNNNNNCAUGUACUGAUUGCUUGUAGAAUUUUUGCUUGUGCUUUUUCUCUUCUAAUUUGGUAGUUUAGAAGCAGUGAUGAUUCUUAUGGACGAUUGUACUUUUUAGCAAUAUUGUGAUCAGAAUUUUGUAUUCUAUGUAGGUUAUACAUUUUAUGGAUAUGGUUAUACUUGAAGAACCAAUAGAGGGGUAUCAUUAGUUGAAGCUUGUUUGGAAUCUUCAUUUUUAGUUCUCUUCAUUGACCAACUUAUUAAAAUGAUAUACUAUUCUCAAGUUCUAUCAAUAGACAGACAUUGAUUAUUAUCAUAACUUUCAGGAUAUAUUACAAACUCAAUGGCACUAAGGAUUGGUUGCUUUAAUCAAAGGAAUUUUCUAUUUGUCAUGCGAGAAGUUAAAGUUUGAAAUAAUAUGGUUGGUCUCUUGAACCCUUAAGUUAGCAUGUGAAAAAUUUAAAUUGAACGUGAUGUAUUGUCAGACACUAUUUAUUGUGAGUAUAUAAGUUUUGUUUGUCUUUAGCUUUAGAGCAUACCCUUUUGUUUGUCUUUAGUUAGCAUUUGGUAGAAUUAGAAAAUGUGUCUAAUGCUUAGUAUAUAUCAUAAGUAAAACCGAUACUAUUCUUUGGCACUGAUCUAUUGAUUUGUUCUUUUCUAUUGUGAUU